rnacentral:rRNA from 1 species
UACGUAGGGUGCAAGCGUUGUCCGGAAUUAUUGGGCGUAAAGAGCUCGUAGGCGGUUUGUCGCGUCUGCUGUGAAAACGCGAGGCUCAACCUCGCGCCUGCAGUGGGUACGGGCAGACUAGAGUGCGGUAGGGGAGAUUGGAAUUCCUGGUGUAGCGGUGGAAUGCGCAGAUAUCAGGAGGAACACCUAUGGCGAAGGCAGCUCUCUGGGACGGUACUGACGCUGAGACGCGAAAGCGUGGGGAGCGAACAGG